rnacentral:rRNA from 1 species
UACGUAGGGCGCAAGCGUUGUCCGGAAUUAUUGGGCGUAAAGAGCUCGUAGGCGGUUUGUCGCGUCUGCUGUGAAAUCCCGAGGCUCAACCUCGGGCUUGCAGUGGGUACGGGCAGACUAGAGUGCGGUAGGGGAGACUGGAAUUCCCGGUGUAGCGGUGGAAUGCGCAGAUAUCAGGAGGAACACCGGUGGCGAAGGCGGGUCUCUGGGCCGAUACUGACGCUGAGGAGCGAAAGCGUGGGGAGCGAACAGG